GUGAACACACACACAGCAGUGAGAAGUGAACACACACCCGGAGCAGUGUACACACACACAGACCUGAGAAGUGAACACACACCCGGAGCAGUGAACACACACACAGCAGUGAGAAGUGAACACACACCCGGAGCAGUGAACACA